UGGGGAAUUUUGGACAAUGGGCGCAAGCCUGAUCCAGCCAUGCCGCGUGCGGGAAGAAGGCCUUCGGGUUGUAAACCGCUUUUGUCAGGGAAGAAAUCUUCUGAGUUAAUACCUCGGGAGGAUGACGGUACCUGAAGAAUAAGCACCGGCUAACUACGUGCCAGCAGCCGCGGUAAUACGUAGGGUGCAAGCGUUAAUCGGAAUUACUGGGCGUAAAGCGUGCGCAGGCGGUUUUGUAAGACAGAGGUGAAAUCCCCGGGCUCAACCUGGGAACUGCCUUUGUGACUGCAAGGCUUGAGUGCGGCAGAGGGGGAUGGAAUUCCGCGUGUAGCAGUGAAAUGCGUAGAUAUGCGGAGGAACACCGAUGGCGAAGGCAAUCCCCUGAGCCUGCACUGACGCUCAUGCACGAAAGCGUGGGGAGCAAACAGGAUUAGAUAGCCCUGGUAGUCCACGCCCUAAACGAUGUCAACUGGUUGUUGGGAAGGUCCCUUCUCAGUAACGUAGCUAACGCGUGAAGUUGACCGCCUGGGGAGUACGGCCGCAAGGUUGAAA
rnacentral:rRNA from 1 species